rnacentral:rRNA from 1 species
AUACCCUAUUAUUUUUAAUGUAAAAUUUAAACUUGAGUAUUAGUAGUUAAGAUCUUAAAACUUAAAGAAUUUGGCGGUAUUAUAGUCUAUUUAGAGGAAUCUGUUAUGUGAUCGAUAAUCCACGUUGAACCUUACUUAUAUAAUUUUUUGUAUACCGCUGUUUUUGAAUAUACUUUUAGGUAGAUUUUCUUAAUAUAGUAGUAAAUAAGAUUUCAAGUCAAGGUGCAGUAAUAAUAUGUAAGUUAAAUAAUGGAUUACAAUAAAAUUUAUUUAAUAACGGAUUAUUGUUUAAAUACAAUUUGAAGGUGGAUUUAAUUGUAAUUUUGUAUAGAUUAUUAAAAUGAUUUAUAGCUCUAUAAUAUGUACACAUCGC